UCACGAUUCGGUAUUAAGAUGUUGCGAAAAAUCAAUACCACGAGCUUGUACUUGGAUAGUAUUAAUUUGUAAUACCGAGUUGGUAAAACAUCAAUACUUACUGGUACAGAUUUUAUACCACGUUUACCCAGUCUAAAAUCUGUCCGGUAUAGACUCGUGUGCGGGAUUUGCAAACUACUCACUUGCAGUUGCAAAUCGUCCUCUUUUUAAAAGUAAGUUCUUCUAAAUUAUUUCGGCUGGUGAAUUAAUUGAGGGGAAGAAAUUGACUACAUCCAAUGGAAACUUUGACUCGUUAAAUUUGAUUCUUGUUAAAGGGUAAGCAUAAAUUUAUUCUUUCUUUUCGUUUUAUCUUUUGCUGUGUAUUACAUUAAUAGGGAGGAUUUUAAACCACCAAUUUCGUUAUAUUUUCUGCAUUAUAUUAAUUAACUUAAUUUUUUUUAUUUUGCGCGAGAUCAUCGACUUAACCAAUUCCUAGUUCCGGUCGUGAAUAUAGGAUUCAGGAUAAUUUUAGUGGGACAUUUCCUAUGGAAUUAAGAGGCUUUUAGAUCCAGUCAGCUCAACUUUUCAACAUUAUGGUGUGUAAGCCAGUUUUAUAAUUAAGUUAACUAUAUUGCAUUGGGCUGAUUUCCAUUUUUUUUAAAUAUGUAUGUCAUUUAUAAUGUUGCGACUUGUAAUUUUAUCAAAUAAAUAACGUUAAAAUCAA